AGUGAACGCUGGCGGUAGGCCUAACACAUGCAAGUCGAACGACCGCACAGUAAGAGCUUGCUCUUACGGGUGGCGAGCGUCGGACCGUUGCGGUAUACAUCGGAAUCUACUUUUUCGUGGGGGAUAACGUCGGGAAACUCACGCUAAUACCGCAUACGACCUCCUUGUGAAAGCAGGGGACCGUCGGACCUUGCGCGAUUGAAUGAGCCGGUGUCGGAUUAGCUAGUUGGCCCGGUAAAGGCCCACCAAGGCGACGAUCCGUAGCUGGUCUGAGAGGAUCAUCCGGCAGAUUGGCACAGAGACACGGCCGCCACAUCGACGGGGGGCCGCGGUGGGGAAUCUUGCAGGAUGGGGGAGAGGCGGAUCCAGCCAUACCGGGUGGGGGAAGAAGGAGUUCGGGUUGUAGAGCCCUUUUGUUGGGAAAGAAAAGCAGCAGUUUAACACGCCGCGGUUCUGACGGUACCCGAAGAAUAAGCACCGGCUAACUUCGUG
rnacentral:rRNA from 1 species